GGAAGGCAUAGGGAAGUAAGGCAAAAAUACUCCUGGAUUUUUCUGCAUACCAGGACUGCCACGUGGCUGGAACCAAGGGAGAGACCUGGCAAUGAAGACAGCAUUUCAGGGCUAUUACAAAGUUCCAAGAGGGAACGAAGAACAAAGCCAAGAAAGACAAGUAGGGAGGUGACCUGAAGGAUGUGUUCUCAAAGAUGGAAAGUGGACUGCAGAGUGGCUGUGGCUUGAAAGGAG
rnacentral:lncRNA from 1 species